rnacentral:rRNA from 1 species
GACGAACGCUGGCGGCGUGCUUAACACAUGCAAGUCGAGCGGUAAGGCCCUUUCGGGGGUACACGAGCGGCGAACGGGUGAGUAACACGUGGGUGACCUGCCCUCAGCUCUGGGAUAAGCCUGGGAAACCGGGUCUAAUACUGGAUAUGACUCCAUGACGCAUGUUGUGGGGUGGAAAGCCUUGUGCGGCUGAGGAUGGGCCCGCGGCCUAUCAGCUUGUUGGUGGGGUGANGGUCUACCAAGGCGACGACGGGUAGCCGGCCUGAGAGGGCGACCGGCCACACUGGGACUGAGACACGGCCCAGACUCCUACGGGAGGCAGCAGUGGGGAAUCUUGCGCAAUGGGCGAAAGCCUGACGCAGCGACGCCGCGUGAGGGAUGACGGCCU